rnacentral:rRNA from 1 species
GACGAACGCUGGCGGCGUGCUUAACACAUGCAAGUCGAACGGAAAGGCCCUGCUUUCAGGGUACUCGAGUGGCGAACGGGCGAGUAACACGCGGGUGAUCUGCCCUCCUCUUCGGGAUAAGCCUGGUCAACUGGGUCUAAUACCUGACAGGUGACAUUUUUAGCCUCAUGGUUGGAAAGUUUUUUCGGUUUUGGCUGGGCCUGCGGCCUAUCUGCUCGUUGGUUGGGUAAUGUCCUACCAAGGCGGCGACGGGUAGCCGGCCUGCGAGGGGGGACGGCCACAUUGGGACUGAGAUACGGACCAGACUCCUACGGGAGGCAGCAGUGGGGAAUAUGGCACAAUGGGCGCAAGCCUGAUGCAGCGACGCCGCGUGCGGGAUGACGGCCUUCGGGUUGUAAACACCUUUCGCUAGGGACGAAGCUUUUGUGACGGUACCUAGAUAAGAAGCACCGGCUAACUACGUG